AUCGAACGCUGGCGGCAGGCCUAACACAUGCAAGUCGAACGAGUGGCGGACGGGUGAGUAAUGUCUGGGAAACUGCCCGAUGGCGGGGGAUAACUACUGGAAACAGUAGCUAAUACCGCAUACUAUCGGAUGUGCCCAGAUGGGAUUAGCUAGGUGGUGGGGUAACGGCUCACCUAGGCGACGAUCCCUAGCUGGUCUGAGAGGAUGACCAGCCACACUGGAACUGAGACACGGUCCAGACUCCUACGGGAGGCAGCAGUGGGGAAUAUUGGACAAUGGGCGCAAGCCUGAUGCAGCCAUGCCGCGUGUAUGAAGAAGGCCUUCGGGUUGUAAAGUACUUUCGGCGAGGAAGCGUUACUCGCAGAAGAAGCACCGGCUAACUCCGUGCCAGCAGCCGCGGUAAUAC
rnacentral:rRNA from 1 species